CAGGCGGGGCUCGGCUUCCCACCCAGCUAAACAAACGGCUGAUAAGGCGGCGCGGGCGGCAGCGCGGAGCUCGCAGCGGGGCCGCGUCUCUCCCAAGGUCAGCUAUUUAGGGACAAUAACAGGAACACGCGGCGGCGGCGGCAGCGCUGCCCCGCCCAGCUCUGCCCUCCGGGCCCGCUCCGCCACCUGGCGGCAUCGGCUCGGGCCCCAACCCGAACCCGAACCGAACCCGAACCCGAACCCGAAGGGGGAGCCGCGGCGGGCCAGGAGGACGAGCUCCCACUUUGCAGUCGGGCCUGCCUAGCGCCUGCUGCAGCCUGAGGGUUGGGCCCGCGAAGGCCUCUCUGCCCUCAGGGUCCCCUCAGCCCGGCGUCUCCACGGUUUUCUGGCGGCCGCAUGUCUUCUUUCUUGUGAAGAAAUGACAUCUUGUUGAAGAUCAAUUUCACGAUGAAUUUAAGCUGACCUAAAACCAGCCUGAGAUGCAUGGUUCAGCUUUCACCACAUUUCUGCUACUUCUUUUCUAUGACCAAGUAGUAUUGCUGUUGCUGUUGUGUGGGACUACCAGCAAAAAUUGGACCAGAUGUUUUAUCUACUGGAGUAAAUGCUAAUACUCACCCAUAAGGGGAGCAGGUGCCAAGAACUUGUGAAACAGGUGCUACAAAACACAUAGCUAUAUUUGGAAGAGAUUUUUGGAUACCACCUACAUGGCAAAGCAUGAGAAAAGGCGAAGAAAAGAAGGGCUACGUCAUCCAGAUGAGAAAGGAAGAUGCAUGCUGCUCUCCAGCUUCUUGAGAAGUUCUGAACUAGUGUUACUGCAGCGUGGCACUGUCCCCUCACUGUUUCCUAAUAUGCUAUCACUGAGGCUUUCUCCAUGCAGUAACUGAUACUGUCCAUCAUGAGAGGCCUAUUAGAAAAAGAGACACGUAGAGACAAGCUGGUGGUUGGUGGCUGGAAAAGACAUGAAACAUCUGGGCUCAAUGUUGUGCUUUAAUGCAAAGUGGAAGCAUCUCCACCUAAAGUUACUGAGGAUCUGCCCAGAGUCAUCUGUGCUGUGCUGUAGCCAUUCUGUUCAAGGAGGGGGAUAAUACAGAUUCUAGUCCUCUCAGGUAGAGAAAAUAUCUCCUUAACAUUUCCCCCCUUCCUGGGCUGUCUGAUAUGAGGAAAAGCCCUGAAACUAAUACCACUAGGAAUCUAAUUUUCCAUCUCCCUGACUUUUAUCAGUGUGUAUCUAAAAACCCAAGCACUUUAGUGUCUUAAAUGGCAAACUAAAAAACUAAAAAUGGAAAAAUAAAAGCUACCAAAAUAUUUCAGCACUGGACAAUCAAAAAUCAGAUUUCCCCAAUAUGGAUGAACUGGAUUCCAUUCAAUUUUACAGAUUUUCAUGUUGACAAAUAAAAAUUUCUCAUGUUGAGAAAUAAAAAUAUUCAAAUGGCUUUAUUGUCUGUGUAAUUGGUUUGACAGCUGAAUAAAAAUUGCCACAAACCAAAACUCAAAAAUAAACAGAAAAAAAACACCAAAAAAACACUUCAGAGUCUUUGCCCCCCAAGCAAGGUUCUUUGUGUAAUGCAGCAGAAAUGAGUGUCACCCUUCAAAGACAAACUCUUUCAGAUUGUGUUGAAUAAUUAAUUUUCUGUUUUCUGACUGAAUUUCACAACGGUUGGCUUGUCAAGAAUCCAUGUGAUCAUGUAGAGCAACUUGGAUACAUGUAAAGAUGUUCAACUAUCUCAUCUGCCUUGCUGGGAUAUAAAAAUUGUCACAUUAUCCCUUAGAUUUCCAGCUGAUUUUUGAUGAUGGAGGUGAAUGGUCACUGAAACACAGUAUUGUCAUUGUUGCCAUACUUCCUGUACUGGAAAAGAUGUUAUUACUAAAUUUGCUGUUGUUUGCUUUUGUAUAAAAAGAAGAGACUUGAGCUAAAAAACGUCAUCUGUUGAGCACAUAUGCUUCUAUUUCCUAGAAUCUGGAUAAUUUAAUUAUAUUAUCUGUUACAGAAUGUUCUUCAUACAAA